rnacentral:rRNA from 1 species
GUGUCAGCCGCCGCGGUAAUACGGAGGGUGCAAGCGUUGUCCGGAAUCACUGGGUGUAAAGGGUGUGUAGGUGGGUCUGUAAGUCAGAGGUGAAAGCCUGCGGCUUAACCGUAGAAUUGCCUUUGAUACUGCAGAUCUUGAGUCCUGGAGAGGCCGCCGGAAUUCGUGGUGUAGCGGUGAAAUGCGUAGAUAUCACGAGGAACACCAGAGGCGUAGGCGGGUGGCUGGACAGGUACUGACACUGAGGCACGAAAGCGUGGGGAGCAAACAGGAUUAGAUACCCUGGUAGUCCACGCCGUAAACGAUGGAUGCUCGAUGCUGCGGCGUUUUUGCUGCAGUGUCCAAGCUAACGCAUUAAGCAUCCCACCUGGGGAGUACGCUCGCAAGAGUGAAACUUAAAUGAAUUGACGGGG